ACAAAGUAUAUCAACAAAGAAAACAUUUUUGUUUCAUAAUUUCUUCGUUAUAUUCCCUUACAAAGCUAGCUUUAACGCUUCGAGGUUUCCUUUCUUCUUGCCGUCGCUUCGGCGCUUGACCCAGACUUUCGCUCUGUAGUUGCUUAGUACUACAAAAAAUUCUAAAUCUGUGAUAUAUGAUUGAUAAACGUAAAGUUAACUGUAUAAACGUGUUCAAUGACUUUGUUACUUUUGAUGAUUGGAGAGCACUCGCUUCAAUUCGCACACGAAAACUUUAGACUCAGUUUGAAUGCUCACGCAGCAUGCCCACGUGACUGUACGUUGUACGCGCACCUAACUUUACGUUGCACGCGUACAUGACUUUCCGUUUGUGCCUUAAAUAAUGAAUAAGGCUACGUCCACACGUACCAGCGUAUUUUUGAAACCGCUGAUUUUUCUAUGCGUUUGCACCUUUUGUCCACACGUAAUGUAUGUCUGGCCGUACAUUGUGUUUGUAUUUCCAGGCACAUUUCACGAAGCAGAACGCAGUCUUCAGAGAUAUCCACGUGAACGCUGUGAUACGUCUGACCUUCAGUCCGAAGCUGAAACUCAGACCAGUCUUAAAAGAAAGCACAAACCAAAUCCCCUGUACACAUAUACGGACUCAGAGGAUGAGCAGCCUACAAAAAAACGGUUUCCCCAGGCCCCUCGAGUGAAAAUACCAGCCCUCAUCACUCCGCAGUCUGCCCCCCAGCCCACUGAUAGCAACCAUCAUAAUGCCCCACCCAGCUCCCGGCACCUUUCGCCACUCCGGCACAAACCGACACAGCUUUGCGAUCUCCCCAGCAUGCAGAGUCUGAUGUCUUCCCUAUAGAUGAUUCCAGAGACUCUGUGAGGCCACUAUUGCAAGGUGAGACGCUUUGCGUUGAUUGGUGCUGCUGGACCACACUGGAGGUGCGAGUCCGCCGUGUAAUGGUUUAUGCCAUUACAAAGGAGCUGGCCUCUGUACUCAACUGGGCAGGGGAAAAAAAACCAAGGACCAGACAAAGCAAAAAAGGGCAUUUAAAGAGACAGCACUGUGCAGAUGCAUAUUUGGUAAGUUUUAACAUUUAUUGUAGUUUUAUGAGCCUAAAGUGAACAAUAAAGGGAUCAAUUGAUGUGCUGGGUGCAUUUCACAUUUCCUAUGUCUGUUUUUUGCUAUAUUACUUUGUCUUUCUUAAUAACAAGACUUUCAUAUCCGGUUAAUCUGGAGAUGGAGUCUUUGGUCUUCGGCUUGUUUUGUCCUCGGGUUGUACACUUUGUACAGCCUGAGGGCCCAUGUUUUCUUUUUCUUUUUCUUUUUUUUUAAAGGAUACACGGCACACCAUGCUAAGACAUAUCACAUUUUCAGCUUAUAGCUCUUUGGGAAUCAAAUGCGGCAGUUUGCUGAUUUCCGCCUGGUGACUUUCAUGUUUAUCAGCCUAGGAGUUUACAUACUUUCUCCCUGCUGAAGACAAUUAACAAGAGCUUAUUCAUGUGCUCUAAUUCCCUUUUUUUGUCUUUGUUUUUUUGUGUGUGUGUCUAUUUUUGUCCUAGAUGGCCUGGCGCAGCAGGUAGGGGCGAACUCUGUCUGAGUUGGUCUUUGCUCAAGCAGUCCAGAAAUGGCUCAGAUAUGAUCCAGAUCGUACGGGUGGCGCGCAGGACGCCCAUCAUCCAUCCCCAUCCCGGAGUAAAUAAUAAAAAGUGACGUGAAACAUAGAAAUGUAAAUAGGAAACUUUGUCUUUUAAUAAAGUACUUUGCAAAUGA